CUCCCACACAGCACAGCAGCGAUUUUUAUAGUAAAAGCAAGUCAAGGUGAUGUAUUUGUGUUUUACGGAGCUGGGCCUUGGGUGCAGUUAGCUGAACUCCUGGGCUGUGGUAUACAGUUGGCAGACAUUUCUAACUGUGGGCCUCUGGGAACUAAUUGUGGAGAGAUACCAUCUAGUUUCUAUGCCAGUAAUUCAUUGAAUCUUUUCAGAGCUUCAGCUUUCCAUAGAAGCACUGAAUGUUUCAAGAAAAAGGUAUACUUCAGGAAGCACAAGAGAAAGUAAAAAAUGAAUCCAAGUAUAUACAAGGGCUGCUCUGAAGGUACAGUGCAGUCCAGUCUAUCAUACUUCAGGCUCUUACCUGCAGAUGAGUGCAAUAAGUAGUGACUUUUCUAUCACCA
rnacentral:lncRNA from 1 species